CGGACGGGUGAGUAACGCGUGGGUAACCUGCCUUGUACUGGGGGACAACAGUUAGAAAUGACUGCUAAUACCGCAUAAGCGCACAGUAUCGCAUGAUACAGUGUGAAAAACUCCGGUGGUACAAGAUGGACCCGCGUCUGAUUAGCUAGUUGGUAAGGUAACGGCUUACCAAGGCGACGAUCAGUAGCCGACCUGAGAGGGUGGCCGGCCACAUUGGGACUGAGACACGGCCCAA
rnacentral:rRNA from 1 species